AUAUCUUAAAAUAAGAUCACCAAUUGAAUCAAACAACCCUAUUUUUUUUUGUCAGCCGCACCUCUUCUUCUUCAUCUUCUUCUUCAAAAAUUUCUUCACUUCUCCCUUCUUUGUUGCUACUUCUUCUAUUCCCACAAACAUACAUCAUUAUAAUAUUUAUGAGAAGUAAUAACAUAAUCAUAAUAAAGAGAGAAUUUUGACUCUAAACUUGCAGGAUUAAAUCUAUGUUAUAGUUGCAAUCUUCACCUCUUUGUUUCUAUUUAAUCUCUUCUAAAUCUAUGUUACAGUUCGUGCUUCUACUGUUUUCGUUUCCAGUUUUUUAUUUCUGAUUUUUUUUU
rnacentral:lncRNA from 1 species